ensembl:misc_RNA Metazoa_SRP Metazoan signal recognition particle RNA
GCUGGGCAUGGUGGUGCGUGCCUGUAAUCCCAGCUACUCAGGAGGCUGAGGCAGGAGAACCACUUGAACUCAGGAGGUGGAGGUUGCAGUGAGCUGAGAUCGUGCCAUUGCCCUCCAACCUGGGUGACAGAGUGAGACUCUGUCUCAA